UGGGGAAUUUUGGACAAUGGGGGCAACCCUGAUCCAGCCAUGCCGCGUGUCUGAAGAAGGCCUUCGGGUUGUAAAGGACUUUUGUUAGGGAAGAAAAGGGAAGUGUUAAUACCACUUUUUGCUGACGGUACCUAAAGAAUAAGCACCGGCUAACUACGUGCCAGCAGCCGCGGUAAUACGUAGGGUGCGAGCGUUAAUCGGAAUUACUGGGCGUAAAGCGAGCGCAGACGGUUACUUAAGCAGGAUGUGAAAUCCCCGGGCUCAACCUGGGAACCGCGUUCUGAACUGGGUGACUAGAGUGUGUCAGAGGGAGGUAGAAUUCCACGUGUAGCAGUGAAAUGCGUAGAGAUGUGGAGGAAUACCGAUGGCGAAGGCAGCCUCCUGGGAUAACACUGACGUUCAUGCUCGAAAGCGUGGGUAGCAAACAGGAUUAGAUACCCUGGUAGUCCACGCCCUAAACGAUGUCAAUUAGCUGUUGGGCAACUUGAUUGCUUAGUAGCGUAGCUAACGCGUGAAAUUGACCGCCUGGGGAGUACGGUCGCAAGAUU
rnacentral:rRNA from 1 species